CCUACGGGAGGCAGCAGUGAGGAAUAUUGGUCAAUGGACGCAAGUCUGAACCAGCCAUGCCGCGUGCAGGAAGACGGCUCUAUGAGUUGUAAACUGCUUUUGUACGAGGGUAAACGCAGAUACGCGUAUCUGUCUGAAAGUAUCGUACGAAUAAGGAUCGGCUAACUCCGUGCCAUCAGCCGCGGUAGUACGGAGGAUUCAAGAGUUUUCCGAGUUUAUUGUGUUUAAGGGGUGCGUAGGUGGUCGGAUAAGUUAGAGGUGAAAUCCCGAGGCUCAACUUCGGAAUUGCCUCUGAUACUGUUCGGCUAGAGAGUAGUUGCGGUAGGCGGAAUGUAUGGUGUAGCGGUGAAAUGCUUAGAGAUCAUACAGAACACCGAUUGCGAAGGCAGCUUACCAAGCUACUUCUGACGUUGAGGCACGAAAGCGUGGGGAGCAAACAGGAUUAGAUACCCGGGUAGUC
rnacentral:rRNA from 1 species